GAUAAUCUUACAUGUAAUGGAAAUGAGUCGACAGUGCGGGACUGUUCAUUUACUGGAUGGGGUGUAAGCAGCAGCUGUGCGGGUGGACUUUAUGCAGGAGUCAUUUGCAACAAUAUUAGACUGGUAGAUGGAGAUAAUAUGUGUUCUGGAAGAGUGGAGGUUUUAUACAAUGAUCAAUGGGGAACCGCCUGUGAUGCUGGUUGGGAUUUACCAGAUGCUGCAGUAGUGUGUAAUAGCAUGGAUUGUUGGACUCCUGUGGCAGCGAAGACCGGGGCUUUCUUUGGGCAGGGUUCAGGGCCCGUGUGGCUGGAUGGUGUGAGUUGUUCUGGGAAUGAGCCAUCAGUAAAAAAUUGUCCCUCAGAGGCAUUAGGAACAACCACCUGUAGCCAUUCAAAAGAUGCUGGAGUCGUCUGUAACCCUCCUGUUAGAUUGGUGAAUGGCAGUGACUCAUGUUCUGGACGAGUGGAGGUUUAUCAUAAUGGAACAUGGGGAACAGUGUGUGUAGAUUCUUGGGACUCUACUGAUGCUGCAGUGGUGUGUAUAGAGGUUGGAUGUCCAACCGGUGCUGAAGCAAAAAGAUAUUCCUACUUUGGACCUGGUGUGGGAACAAUAUGGAUGGAUGAUGUUCAGUGUGCAGGGAUUGAAGUAUCACUAAAGGAGUGCAGAUUUCCUGGAUGGGCAUCACACAACUGUAAUCAUUCACAUGAUGCUGCAGUCAUCUGUCGUGGUAGGAUAGAUACAGUGUUAUUUUUUUACUUUGCUAGUCUUCCCUCAAUUGUUUAAUUGACUACUUAGAAUGUUUGU